rnacentral:lncRNA from 1 species
CUCGAGGAGAGCAGGUCAGGUGACAGCCAUGGCGCGCCCAUAUCCACCAGUGUCGUCGUCGUCAAGCUCCUCUUAUCCCAUUGCCUGAACCACCCCUGUCUCCAUCUCCACAACUGCACACCGGAUGUUCCUUCCAUGGAAGGUCCCCUUCGCCCCUCUAUUCCCCUGAACUGUUGGUUAGUUUUGAUUCAACCACUCUCCUCCCCGAUGUGUUAUUCUCAUGCACGCAGGUGAUGUAUGUGCUUGCUUCUUCCCUUCCCGGGACGCCAUUACUCCAACGCCAUGGAAAAAUGUAAGAUUUUAUCAUCUAUACCCUUUAAUGUGUCUCCUUCAUCUGGCCUAAAUUUGCUUACUGCACCAAAGUUGCCGCCGAGAUUCUUAUUAUCUUGUUGCGACUUUGAAUUGUGAAAAGAUCUAGAAACUGAUGGUUGCUUGGAUUUUAUUUUGUUGCUGCCCUAUAUUUAACUCAUUACAUAAUUUUCUUGGUAUGCAUCUUCUUUUCAACAAUUGUCUCUUAAACGUCAUGUUCAACAAUAUGUGUUAUUCACAUCAGAAAAUAUGGCGAGAACAAUAGGGUGAAGCAAGCUCAUCCAAUGAUGAACAAUAGCGGCUCUCAAAUAUUGUUAAAUGCGAGAGGAAGGUGAGAGGUCAUAACUAAAAAGGAUUUUUUUUGUUGGAAGGGAAUUGCUUGUUCAGUGAUGUGUGUGGUAUGAUGUUUGGUUCAAAAAUAUAAAGGGCUAGAAUGAGAAGAACAGUCAUCUGUGUGAAGUACUCCCUCCGUAAACUAAUAUAAGAUUGUUUAGAUCAGCAUGAACUAAAGUCUAUUGUUUCUCUUGUGGGUAGCCUUUGCAUUUUUAUUGUCAUGUUUCAUGCAUCAUAGCUUGUGUAUGUAAGCAUAUAACUAUACACAUAUACACUAGUUUGUAAUGUCACUAUAAAUAGAUGAUUCAUAAAACUACCAGAGAGCUUGCAUCAGACCAUCAAAUUGUAAGGAGGAUAAUCUACUACUUUAGCCAUUUACAUGAUAGCUUGCUUCUAUGUGUAGUGUGUAAUAUGAAGAAACCACGUGUAGUUUGAUUGAGUGUCAUUCUUCACCAUUUGAUGAUUUGUAACCACAUUGCACUAUGCAGGUUUCAGGGGCUGAAAAGGCCAAGGGAAAACAUUCUGGAUUAAACCUAUAUUCAAAGCAAUGGGUAUUGAGCAAUAUUCAAAGCAAUGGGUAUUAAAUGCAAUGGGUAUUAAACCUAUAUUCAUUAGAAAUGGGUAUUAAAAGCAAUGGGUAUUAAACCUAUAUUCAAAGAAAUGUUUGCUGGAUAACUCGAAUUUAAAAGAGAAGGUCAAGAAACACGAGAGCUAUUUAAUGUUUUAUACUUGUUGUUUACUUUGCCGUUUGUUUAUGUUUCUAGAUUACUGUCAAGGUGUAGCUUAUUUAGUUCAUAUAAACCAUUCCAGACCCUUAUACAGUUGUUUUAGGUCUAAUAUUUCAAAACAUUUCUAAGCCAUUAAAGUUAUCAUUGAUUUACACGGCACAAAACAUAUGAAAAUUAUCUUUCAUUUCCCAGAAGUUUGGCCUCAAGCCUACGACUAAUUGAUGGAUAAGCACCGCUAGUGUUCAGACUAAAAACAAAGAUCAGUGCUAGAUCCAUGCUAUAGCAAUCUAACUAAGCAAGUUUCACAAGGACGUGUUGGUUCUGAACCAUGAUAGUUCAGAGUUAUUUGUUUAGUUAAAACUCUAGAUAACCUUGAACGAUGUAGAUGGUUUCCAUUAUAAUUCUACAUACUUUCCCCUGUUGUAUUCCUCACCCUUGUUUAACACUACUUUAUUUUUUAUGAACAUAUGGAAACACUAAUGUAACAUGUAAACUCUCAUGAAUUUGUACGUGCUUGUUUGUAAGAACUUGAAUGUUGGGUUGAUGCUUUAUUUUCUACAAAGUUGGGUUGUAUAUUCAGGGCUGCUUCUUGAUAACUGUGCAUGUAACUAGGUUUUUUCCGGAUUUAAAUAAGUUUGUUUUGAGCUUUGACCUAUAUGCUUCCAAAUUAAAUUUUAAAAAUUAGAGAGAAAUAAAAAUAACUAGGACGGAUGCAUUGAUUUUAUUAGAGAGGUUGUGAAAUCAAGUAUUUAUUUACUUCUUAUUUGAGCAAGCCAGUAGUUUGUGUACAUCUUCUAUUUUUAGAUCUUUGGACUCAAGAGUAGACUUAGAAGUUUGAAAAAAUGUUACUAUGAUAAUAUUGUUGAAACACAUGACUGAUUUUGUAGGGUCAAAUGGAAAAAAGUAGCAAGUCGGAGAUGUUAUGGCUUUUGUACAUGCCAUGCAUGGCGACCUAUUUUCUUCAUAUGGAAGUUGGUGUUGUUUCCGUGAUCAAAGACUUGGUCUGUUUCAUAGGGUUUGUAUAGUGACUGAACACUUAGUCUCUUAUGAACUUAGCCCAUAUUUUUUAACAAGCUACCACUUGUAUAUUAACAUAUGUAUUUCCUUAGUGGUUGUAGCUAACUUGAGUGAAGUAAACUAAUGAAUCUUCUAUAUGUUGAAUACAAGUGCGCAAUUGUAUCUUAGUGGUUGUAUUCAUCAAUGGUGUCUUGUGAUGAAUACAAGAGCACAAUUGUUUGUAUAUGUAUUGUAUAGUGAACAUGAAUUGAAUAUUGUGGAUGUCAUUUCAUUCGAAA